UACAGAGGGUGCAAGCGUUGCUCGGAUUUACUGGGCGUAAAGCGUACGCAGACGGUGAGAAAGGUCGGAUGUGAAAGCCCCGGGCUCAACCCGGGAACUGCAUCCGAAACCAUCUCGCUAGAGUAUGAGAGAGGGAAGCGGAAUUCCUGGUGUAGAGGUGAAAUUCGUAGAUAUCAGGAGGAACAUCUGCGGCGAAGGCGGCUUGCUGGGCAUUGUCUGACGCUGAGGCGCGAAAGCGUGGGGAGCGAACAGG
rnacentral:rRNA from 1 species